rnacentral:rRNA from 1 species
GUGCCAGCCGCCGCGGUAAUACGGAGGGGGCUGGCGUUGUUCGGAAUUACUGGGCGUAAAGCGCGCGUAGGCGGAUCGGAAAGUUGGGGGUGAAAUCCCGGGGCUCAACCCCGGAACUGCCUCCAAAACUAUCGGUCUAGAGUUCUGGAGAGGUGAGUGGAAUUCCGAGUGUAGAGGUGAAAUUCGUAGAUAUUCGGAGGAACACCAGUGGCGAAGGCGGCUCACUGGCCAGAUACUGAUGCUGAGGUGCGAAAGUGUGGGGAGCAAACAGGAUUAGAUACCCGUGUAGUCC